rnacentral:rRNA from 1 species
CGCGUAUACAAUCUACCUUUUACAGGGGGAUAGCCUUUAGAAAUGAAGAAUAAUACCCCAUAGUAAGUAUAAUUCGCAUGGAUUUUACUUUAAAGUUUCGGCGGUAAAAGAUGAGUAUGCGUCCUAUUAGCUAGAUGGUGUGGUAAAGGCUCACCAAGGCGACGAUCCCUAGCUGGUUUGAGAGGAUGAUCAGCCACACUGGAACUGAGACACGGUCCAGACUCCUACGGGAGGCAGCAGUGGGGAAUAUUGCACAAUGGAGGAAACUCUGAUGCAGCCAUGCCGCGUGUAUGAAGAAGG